AGAGGCUUCGGCAAUGGGGGCAACCCUGACCGAGCGACGCCGCGUGCGGGAUGAAGGCCCUCGGGUUGUAAACCGCUGUCAGGAGGGAAGAAUCCUUGCGGGCCAAUACCCCGGAAGUUGACGGUACCUCCAGAGGAAGCUCCGGCUAACUCUGUGCCAUCAGCCGCGGUAAUACGGAGGGAGCGAACGUUGUUCGGAUUUACUGGGCGUAAAGGGCGCGUAGGCGGUUUUGCAAGUCAGAGGUGAAAUGUCCCGGCUCAACCGGGAACCUGCCUUUGAAACUGCAGAACUUGAGAUCGUGAGAGGAGACUGGAAUUCCUAGUGUAGCGGUGAAAUGCAUAGAUAUUAGGAAGAACACCAGUGGCGAAGGCGAGUCUCUGGCACGAUACUGACGCUGAGGCGCGAAAGCUAGGGGAGCAAAC
rnacentral:rRNA from 1 species